UACGUAGGGACCGAGCGUUGUCCGGAAUCAUUGGGCGUAAAGAGCGUGUAGGCGGCUGGGUAGGUCCGUUGUGAAAACUCGAGGCUCAACCUCGAGACGCCGAUGGAAACCCCCCAGCUAGAGUCCGGAAGAGGAGAGUGGAAUUCCUGGUGUAGCGGUGAAAUGCGCAGAUAUCAGGAAGAACACCCGUGGCUAAGGCGGCUCUCUAGUACGGUACUGACGCUGAGACGCGAAAGCGUGGGGAGCGAACAGG
rnacentral:rRNA from 1 species